rnacentral:lncRNA from 1 species
GCCUGGGCCUGGGCCUGGGCGGAGGGAUCCCCGGGCUGAGGCGGCGGAGGUGCUGCGGCCCGGGGCCGGGUGGUGAAUGGGCUGGUGGUGCUCGCUGCUGCUGCUGCUGCUGCUGGGAGGAGGAGGAGGAGGAGGAGGAGAAGGAGGAGUGGGGGGGAGGAGGAAGAAGAAGAAGAAGAAGGAGAAGAAGAAGAAGAAGAAGAGUUGGGCUGGUUGGUCUCUCACAGUUAGUCUCCCGCUGCUCGGGUUCUCCUCCGCCCGCCCCCUCCUCUCACUUCGGCCCCGGGCCUCUGUGAGACCCCCCUCCCCUCCCCUCCCCCCCAGGAUGAAUUGGAAGUAAGUUUAUGAGCAGCCUGGGGAGCGGGGGAGCUGCGGGCAGGGCCGCCGAGGGAGGGGGGC